rnacentral:rRNA from 1 species
UACGGAGGGUGCAAGCGUUGUUCGGAAUCAUUGGGCGUAAAGCGCGUGUAGGCGGCUUGGCAAGUCGGUUGUGAAAGCCCGGGGCCCAACCCCGGAACUGCAUCUGAAACUGCCUGGCUAGAGUCCCGGAGAGGAAGGCAGAAUUCCCGGUGUAGGGGUGAAAUCCGUAGAUAUCGGGAGGAAUACCAGCGGCGAAGGCGGCCUUCUGGACGGUGACUGACGCUGAGACGCGAAAGCGUGGGGAGCAAACCGG